CGGACGGGUGAGUAAUGUCUGGGAAACUGCCCGAUGGAGGGGGAUAACUACUGGAAACGGUAGCUAAUACCGCAUAACGUCGCAAGACCAAAGAGGGGGACCUUAGGGCCUCUUGCCAUCGGAUGUGCCCAGAUGGGAUUAGCUAGUAGGUGGGGUAAUGGCUCACCUAGGCGACGAUCCCUAGCUGGUCUGAGAGGAUGACCAGCCACACUGGAACCGAGACACGGUCCAG
rnacentral:rRNA from 1 species